rnacentral:rRNA from 1 species
GAGUUUGAUCAUGGCUCAGGAUGAACGCUGGCGGCGUGCCUAACACAUGCAAGUCGAACGAAGCAAUCAGAAUGAAGUUUUCGGAUGGAUUUCGGAUUGACUGAGUGGCGGACGGGUGAGUAACGCGUGGAUAACCUGCCUCACACUGGGGGAUAACAGUUAGAAAUGACUGCUAAUACCGCAUAAGCGCACAGUGCCGCAUGGUACGGUGUGAAAACUCCGGUGGUGUGAGAUGGAUCCGCGUCUGAUUAGCCAGUUGGCGGGUAAC